CACGUAGGGGGCGAGCGUUGUCCGGAUUCAUUGGGCGUAAAGGGCGCGUAGGCGGCCAGCACAAGUCAGUUGUGAGAUCUCCGGGCUUAACUCGGAAAGGUCAACUGAUACUGUGCGGCUAGAGUGCAGAAGGGGCAACUGGAAUUCUCGGUGUAGCGGUGAAAUGCGUAGAUAUCGAGAGGAACACCUGCGGCGAAGGCGGGUUGCUGGGCUGACACUGACGCUGAUGCGCGAAAGCCAGGGGAGCGAACGGG
rnacentral:rRNA from 1 species